GCGCGUCGAUGUCCGUUUGCCACAUUUAUUAUUCCCAAGAGAGAUUCACUCAGGAGAGAGAGUUCAUAACCUCAACGCUACGAGUGACACUUCGACAAUGCAAUAAACCCAGGGAUGCACCUUUGAGUAAUUAUAUUAACGCAGUAGCAUACAAUAGGUGCAACACGAGGUAAUAUCAUUUAAAUAUCAAUAUUAAUAAUGAUAAUAACCAACCCCCAAUUAACACAGCAAAUGCAUGUUAUAUCAAAUUUAGCCAAACCUAUUAUGUUGUUAUUGUUUACUUAAUAUAUUUUUCCUGAGGGUUCGUCGGAUAUCCGCAGUGUAAUAAGGAAGACACCUCCUUCACGUGGAGAGGACAGUGUAUAACCUCAAAAGGACACCGUCACAUACGACCACAUAAUAGACAUCAGAGUUAAUCAUUAAUGGUAUGCAUACAACAAUUUGUAGGUGCUAUUAAGGUCGCCAGAUAUCAAAAUUGUCACAGGAUAAGAUAUUAUGACGCAUACCUUGCUGCGGUGAGAGCAUUGUUCAUCCAAAUUCAGUAUAUUCAGUAACGAAACAGUCCUGAUUGAUGUGUCGUCAAUUGACUCAGAAGGAAACACACACCUGAGCAUCAACAUAUAAAUGCGGACAAGGAAGAUCACACUCCUAACACAUCACAUGGACCAAUAAUGCAAUGCACAACAGUGUAUGAAAUGUCGACAACCGACUAAAGGCACACAAUUGAGGCACCAAGCAUGAGUAUAAGGAAUACAGUACCGUAAUACCC